rnacentral:rRNA from 1 species
GAUCUCAAAUCAGGUAGGACUACCCGCUGAACUUAAGCAUAUCAAUAAGCGGAGGAAAAGAAACUAACAAGGAUUCCCCUAGUAACUGCGAGUGAAGCGGGAAGAGCUCAAAUUUAAAAUCUGGCGUGCCUCUGGUCGUCCGAGUUGUAGUCUGGAGAAGCGUUUUCCGUGUUGGACCGUGUACAAGUCUCUUGGAACAGGGCGUCAUAGAGGGUGAGAAUCCCGUCUUUGACACGGACUACCAACGCUUUGUGAUGCGCUCUCAAAGAGUCGAGUUGUUUGGGAAUGCAGCUCAAAAUGGGUGGUAAAUUCCAUCUAAAGCUAAAUAUAGGCGAGAGACCGAUAGCGAACAAGUACCGUGAGGGAAAGAUGAAAAGCACUUUGGAAAGAGAGUUAAACAGUACGUGAAAUUGCUGAAAGGGAAACGCUUGAAGUCAGUCGUGUCUGCCGGGACUCAGCCUUGCUUCUGCUUGGUGUACUUUCCGGUCGGACAGGCCAACAUCAAUUUUGACCGUUGGAGAAAGGCUUUGGGAAUGUGGCACCUUCGGGUGUGUUAUAGCCCUUUGUCGUAUACAACGGUUGGGAUUGAGGACCGCAGCACGCCUUUAUGGCC